rnacentral:rRNA from 1 species
AUUGAACGCUGGCGGCAUGCCUUACACAUGCAAGUCGAACAGCAGCGGGGGAGAAGCUUGCUUUUCCUGCCGGCGAGUGGCGAACGGGUGAGUAAUACAUCGGAACGUGCCCUGUAGUGGGGGAUAACUAGUCGAAAGAUUAGCUAAUACCGCAUACGACCUGAGGGUGAAAGUGGGGGACCGCAAGGCCUCAUGCUAUAGGAGCGGCCGAUGUCUGAUUAGCUAGUUGGUGGGGUAAAGGCCUACCAAGGCGACGAUCAGUAGCUGGUCUGAGAGGACGAUCAGCCACACUGGGACGGAGACACGGCCCAGAUUCCUACGGGAGGCAGCAGUGGGGAAUUUUGGACAAUGGGCGAAAGCCUGAUCCAGCAAUGCCGCGUGUGUGAAGAAGGCCUUCGGGUUGUAAAGCACUUUUGUCCGGAAAGAAAUGGCUCUGGUUAAUACCUGGGGUCGAUGACGGUACCGGAAGAAUAAGGACCGGCUAACUCUGUGCCAGCCGCCGCCGUAA